rnacentral:rRNA from 1 species
CACGUAGGGUGCGAGCGUUGUCCGGAAUUAUUGGGCGUAAAGAGCUCGUAGGCGGUGUGUCGCGUCGGCCGUGAAAACCUGCAGCUUAACUGUGGGCUUGCGGUCGAUACGGGCAUCACUGGAGUUCGGCAGGGGAGACUGGAAUUCCUGGUGUAGCGGUGAAAUGCGCAGAUAUCAGGAGGAACACCAGUGGCGAAGGCGGUGCUCUGGGCCGGAACUGACGCUGAGGAGCGAAAGCGUGGGGAGCGAACAGG